rnacentral:rRNA from 1 species
GACGUAGGGCGCGAGCGUUGUCCGGAUUUAUUGGGCGUAAAGAGCUCGUAGGCGGCUUGUCGCGUCGACUGUGAAAUCCCGCGGCUCAACUGCGGGUCUGCAGUCGAUACGGGCAGGCUAGAGUGAUGUAGGGGAGACUGGAAUUCCUGGUGUAGCGGUGAAAUGCGCAGAUAUCAGGAGGAACACCGAUGGCGAAGGCAGGUCUCUGGGCAUUAACUGACGCUGAGGAGCGAAAGCAUGGGGAGCGAACAGG